AACGCAUCUUGCGCUCCUUGGUAUUCCAUGGAGCAUGCCUGUUUCAGUGUCACGUAAACCCUCACACUCGCGAUGUAAAAGUCACGAACUGUGGAUUUGGACCGUGCCGUAAAUGGCUCGUCCUGAAAUGCAUUAGCUUGCGCUUGUUAGAGUGCUUGGCACGGUGUGAUAAUUAUCUGCGCCCUCGCCUUAGGCCUCUUCUGAAUGUGCUGCUUCCAAUCGUCUCUACGGACAACUAAUCAAACUUUGGCCUGAAAUCAGGUAGGACUACCCGCUGAACUUAA
rnacentral:misc_RNA from 2 species